UACAGAGGGUGCGAGCGUUAAUCGGAAUUACUGGGCGUAAAGGGUGCGUAGGCGGCCUGCUGCGUCGGUGCUGAAAGCGCCCGGCUUAACCGGGCGAGGCGUGCCGAUACGAGCGGGCUGGAGCCUUGGCGAGGGUGGCGGAACUCCUGGUGUAGUGGUGAAAUGCGUAGAGAUCAGGAAGAACACCCGUGGCGCAAGCGGCCACCUGGCCAAGAGCUGACGCUGAGGCACGAGAGCGUGGGGAGCGAACCGG
rnacentral:rRNA from 1 species